rnacentral:lncRNA from 1 species
UACACUAUUCCAAGGCGUUGGUUUGCUUCCACGAACGCCUCCGUAGUCAGUGCUAUUACAUCAUCAUUAGUGCUAAUUUCAUCGUUCGAUGUUAAUUUAGAUGCUCGCAAUUGAGAUUCCCCGUUAUAAUGUACUGGAUACAUUUGUAACACCAUUUUAUCUCCGCCCUUACCAAUUGUUAAAGUAUCCCUGUGAACAAAAAUUAACCCCCCUUUAGUGAAGAGGCUAAUUCUAAUCACAAGAUCCUAAUUAUAGUCCAACCUUGGCAUUUUAUAACUUAUGUUGAUUUCCUGGUUAAUUGCUUAAUUCAUUAAUCUAAUUUCUAUCUUUAUCCUUAUGUUUAUCUUGAUUUUUUUAUUUUUUUUUAUUUUUAUUUUUUUUGUAGUUUUCUUUUACUUAAAUCCUUCACCAUUCUUGAACCCUGGAAUUAUCCAAUUGUGUCGCUUAAUUAUCAUUUAAUUAUUAUUUAAAUAUUUUUUAGUUUAUUUUAUUUAUUAUUUGUUUUUAAAUUCAUUUUUAUUUUAUUUUUAUUUUAUUUUUAUUUUAUUUUUUUUAUUUUUUAUUUUUUUAUUUUAAUUUUUGGAUUAACCUUCCAACUUCAGAUGACUAUAUCCUUGCGAGUUUACGUCCGAAUUUAAAGUUUUUUACGUCUAAUGUUAUUAAAUUCAAUAAUCAACUUGAUGGGACAGCAUGCCUUCACUUCAUGCCUCAUGUUCAAUGUCAACUAGACUGUGAGCACUCAACUUCCAAGGAGGAUACAUUCAGAUUCAAGACCAUACAACUACCAAGAUUGCAUGGAAUUCAUGACUUGUCACGCAAGGGGAGAUCCAAGGAUUUUGACCUAAUCCUAAGCAAUUUGGCCAGCGCUUCCGCGUCAAUCGGAAAUUCCGGUUCUGGCACUACAACUCCUAGCAGCUCAACUGUGCAUCACCAACCAUCAUCAAUUGAAGGGAAAAGAGGAAGGAAGUUGGUAACCUCCUUAGCUACCAAGGUCAUGAUUCUGGUUGUGGCUGCAACCCUCCUCGCACUAGUCGCCUCCGCUCUCUCCACCCCUACCCCGCUGCUGCUUGUUUUCCUCAGGCGUCUACACAGGCCUUGCUGACGGCCUCACGGUGGCCUUCUCUCGAUCUGCCCAGGCGCGGCCUCCUUCACCGUCGCUUCCACGUUCUCUCCUACCUCCGAGUCCGUGCGGACAGAACCCCCGCCGAUCAGCUCUCUCCUCUCGGAACGGCGCCUGCCUGCUCCCGAUCUGCCCAGGCGCGGCUGACUUCCGUGCGGGCUUCGUCUUGCUCCGAUCGCAAUCCUACCGGUCUCCGCCUUGUUGACCUGGGGGUUCCCUCCUUCUGGGUCCGGGCUCUUCCCUCAUAGACUCCCAGCUCCCGUUCAACGGCAAUCCUACCUCCUUCACCGCUGCGGCCUCUCGAUCACCCCGAUUCAGAUAGACCCCAUCUUCCCGAGACCCCGCCGAGACAUCACACACAAGACCGCCAUCCCGACCCCCUCACUCCAUCCUCCGACCUCUACCCUAUUCUUUUCCCUGGCCGACUCACUCCGCGGCUCCCUUCUUCGCCGUUGCAUUGGCGCGAUUCCCCCGAGACUCUUUUCUUGGUGGACCUCUAUCCCCUACUCCCUAGCGCUUCUCUCCUACCACCCUUCCGCGACUGGGUCUCCUCCCUACAGACCGCCGUCUCUCUCUUCCCCCUGCUCGUAGUUCCGUUGCGUCCUCCAGCCAGCUUCCGCGACUACUCCCCCCUCCCGCGUCGAUCCCUGGUCUCCUCCUCCUCUCUCCGAUCGACUCCCCUCUGGCCCCGCCUACCCCACUUGCGCUGCCUGCCUGGACGGCGCGGCUGGUCCUCCGGGACCAGUCUAAUUCUGGGGAAUAUUCCCUAGGAAAGCCCCAAAUCCCCCCUC